GGUUCUGAAGUGUACCAGUUAUCGCAUCUGCUUUACACCCACAAGCUCCUGGGUUCAAGUCCCAGUGGAACCA
rnacentral:tRNA from 1 species